AAAGAAAUAUUCUUAAAAGCUUCUAACUUUUUAAAGAGCAUUAAUUUGUUC
rnacentral:tRNA from 1 species